rnacentral:rRNA from 1 species
CGUGAGGGGCGCUAACAUGCAGUCGAGCGGGGAAAGGUGCCUUGGUAACUGACCUAGCGGCGGACGGGUGAGUAAUGCUUAGGAAUCUGCCUAUUAGUGGGGGACAACAUUCCGAAAGGAAUGCUAAUACCGCAUACGCCCUACGGGGGAAAGCAGGGGAUCUUCGGACCUUGCGCUAAUAGAUGAGCCUAAGUCAGAUUAGCUAGUUGGUGGGGUAAAGGCCUACCAAGGCGACGAUCUGUAGCGGGUCUGAGAGGAUGAUCCGCCACACUGGGACUGAGACACGGCCCAGACUCCUACGGGAGGCAGCAGUGGGGAAUAUUGGACAAUGGGCGCAAGCCUGAUCCAGCCAUGCCGCGUGUGUGAAGAAGGCCUUUUGGUUGUAAAGCACUUUAAGCGAGGAGGAGGCUACUUGGAUUAAUACUCUAGGAUAGUGGACGUUACUCGCAGAAUAAGCACCGGCUAACUCUGUGCCAGCAGCCGCGGUAAUACAGAGGGUGCGAGCGUUAAUCGGAUUUACUGGGCGUAAAGCGUGCGUAGGCGGCUUCUUAAGUCGGAUGUGAAAUCCCUGAGCUUAACUUAGGAAUUGCAUUCGAUACUGGGAAGCUAGAGUAUGGGAGAGGAUGGUAGAAUUCCAGGUGUAGCGGUGAAAUGCGUAGAGAUCUGGAGGAAUACCGAUGGCGAAGGCAGCCAUCUGGCCUAAUACUGACGCUGAGGUACGAAAGCAUGGGGAGCAAACAGGAUUAGAUACCCUGGUAGUCCAUGCCGUACACGAUGUCUACUAGCCGUUGGGGCCUUUGAGGCUUUAGUGGCGCAGCUAACGCGAUAAGUAGACCGCCUGGGGAGUACG